GGUUCUGUAGUGUAGUGGCAAUCAUGUCUGCUUUGGGCCAUGUGAAGCAUCCUUCACAGGCGGGACAUUUGCAGGAGGUCACGCGUUCGACUCGCGUCAGAACCC
rnacentral:tRNA from 1 species